GUGAUUUGGCCUCUGGCCUUAUUCGAUUCUCAACCUCUGUGAACUGUGGCCUUCGGGCCGAUUUUAAACACUGUGUAAUGAAUGUAUAUUAUUGUAACAAAUA
rnacentral:misc_RNA from 1 species